rnacentral:lncRNA from 1 species
CUUUCUCUAAACUAUAGAUUCUAAUCCAAAGAAACCUUCAAUGGCAUCAGAAAAAUGAUAUGGCAUUUCAUUGAAUUCUUGAACAUCAAUUUUGAAUGUGUUUGAUUUUGGGGCACCUUAAGUUGUCAGGUGCUUGCUUUAAUACUUGUUUCUUAUAUGUUUCUAUGUACAGAUGUGGAGAAAGUGGGAAGCUCAUGGUGUUACAUGUUAGUAGUCUUUAGUGUAAUUUGCUUUGAAACUUUAUCAUCGAUAUUAGAUAUUAGAAGUUGUUGGUGCCUGGUGAUGUGAUUUUUUUAAAUGAAAAUGCUUUGUUGACACUGAUUUUUGACACUAUUUUGACACCGCCACGUGGCGGGUGUCUAUUGGCCCAAUUUAAAAAAAAAAAUGAAGUUGUUAUUUGGAAUGUGCAUGGGCAAUUUUGGAAGAGAAAAGAAAUGAAAAUUCGUUUCGCGGUUUCUUUCAUUCGUAGGUUUUCGUUCAUCCCUUUCUCGCUCUCUCGUCCUGUCAUCAUUGUCGCUCUCUCGCUCUUUCUUUCUCUCUCUCUCUCUUUCUCUCUCUUGUCCUAUCAUGACCGUCGCUCUCUCGCUCUCUCGUCCUAUCAUCAUCGGCGCUUUCUCCCUUUCUCACUCUCUUGUCCUAUCAUCACCGUCGCUCUCUCGCUCUCUCACUCUCUCGUCCUGUCAUCAAUCUCGCAGCAGGUUUCUCUCUUGCUAUUUCUUGGUAAGUCGAACUGCUCGAACACUAACCUAAUCUCCAAUAGUGAGGUUUUUUUCUUGUUUCGCUAAAGCUAGCGUUAUUGUGGACAUUGUUAUGACUUCAGGUCCAACGGCAUCCGGAAAAAGAAAUGUAAGAUUAAAUAAAAUUUUUUAUAGUGAUGGAUGAUCUUUUAUGCUGUUACCGUUUGUAUUUAUUGUAUUUUUGUUGAUUUUUUGUAGUGGCGCCUUCGUGUCUCCAUGGAAUCAGUGACCAUUCUUGAAAUGAAUACCUUACUGCGAGACCCUCACGUAGAGCGUAUUAGGAUGACC